rnacentral:rRNA from 1 species
AUUGAACGCUGGCGGCAGGCCUAACACAUGCAAGUCGAGCGGAGCGGCGGACGGGUGAGUAAUGCCUAGGAAUCUGCCUGGUAGUGGGGGAUGACGUCCGGAAACGGGCGCUAAUACCGCAUACUAUCAGAUUAGCCUAGGUCGGAUUGGCUAGUUGGGGGGGUAAAGGCCUACCAAGGCGACGAUCCGGAACUGGUCUGAGAGGAUGAUCAGUCAAACUGGAACUGAGACACGGUCCAAAGUCCUACGGGAGGCAGCAGUGGGGAAUAGGGGAAAAUGGGCGAAGGCGUGAUCGAGCCAUGCCGCGUGUGUGAAGAAGGGCUUAGGAUUGUAAAGUACUUAAAGUUGGGAGGCGGUACGAACAGAAUAAGCACCGGCUAACUACGUGCCAGCAGCCGCGGUAAUUC